rnacentral:rRNA from 1 species
UGAGGAAUUGUUCACAAUGGGCGCAAGCCUGAUGACGCAACGCCGCGUGGGGGAUGAAGGUCUUCGGAUCGUAAACCCCUGUCGAAUGGGACGAAAGACUCGCGAGUGAAUACUUCGCGAGAGUGACGGUACCGUUAAAGGAAGCCACGGCUAACUCUGUGCCAGCAGCCGCGGUAAUACAGAGGUGGCAAGCGUUGUUCGGAAUUACUGGGCGUAAAGGGCGCGUAGGCGGCCCUCUAAGUCAGACGUGAAAUCCCCCGGCUUAACCUGGGAACUGCGUCUGAUACUGGAGGGCUUGAGUAUGGGAGAGGGAUGUAGAAUUCCAGGUGUAGCGGUGAAAUGCGUAGAUAUCUGGAGGAAUACCGGUGGCGAAGGCGGCAUCCUGGACCAUUACUGACGCUGAGGCGCGAAAGCUAGGGGAGCAAACGGGAUUAGAUACCCCCGUAGUCCCUGAGCGGGCUGGCAAGGCGCAU